UUAAAAAGCUCGUAGUUGAAUUUCGGGGUCAGUAGGUCGGUCGUGCCACUGGUAUGAACUGGUUUUACUGAUUCCUCCCUCUUGAAGAACUGUAAUGCCAUUAAUUUGGUGUUGCAGGGAAUCAGGACUGUUACUUUGAAAAAAUUAGAGUGUUUAAAGCAGGCUUUAGUUUGAAUACAUUAGCAUGGAAUAAUGAAAUAGGACGUUUGAUCCUAUUUUGUUGGUUUCUAGGGUUGACGUAAUGAUUAAUAGGGAUAGUUGGGGG
rnacentral:rRNA from 1 species